CAUUUGCAUGGAUGGGCCCUCCCUCUCUAAGAGGACGAAGAGGGGAAGGGAGACAGGAGAGAAGGCUCCGCUCAGCUGUGGGACCACAGAGGCAGGAUCAUUGAUGACCUCUACCAUGGCCUGGUUCCCUCUCCUCCUCACCCUCCUCGCUCACUGCACAGGGUCCUGGGCCCAGUCUGUGCUGACUCAGCCAGCCUCAGUGUCUGGAUCCCUGGGCCAAAGGGUCACCAUCUCCUGCACUGGAAGCACAAACAACAUCGGUGGUGAUAAUUAUGUGCACUGGUACCAACAGCUCCCAGGAAAGGCACCCAGUCUCCUCAUCUAUGGUGAUGAUAACAGAGAAUCUGGGGUCCCUGAACGAUUCUCUGGCUCCAAGUCAGGCAGCUCAGCCACUCUGACCAUCACUGGGCUCCAGGCUGAGGACGAGGCUGAUUAUUAUUGCCAGUCCUACGAUGACAGCCUCAAUACUCACACAGUGCUCCAGUCCAAUGGGGAAGUCCCUGUCCCAGCCUUUGCUGACCCAGCGCCCUCCCUCUCUGCAUCUCCUGGAACAAAAGUCAGACUCACCUGCAUCCAGAGCAGUGGAUCCAGCGUUGGCAGCUACUACAUACACUGGUUCCAGUAG